ensembl:lncRNA
CCUGAACGAUUUAGGGCUUUUAAACGCAUUUUCUCAGUCUUUCAGUUUUCUGUAGAUGGAUGUGGGGGCAUUGGAGGAAAAAAUAUAUAAAUUCCACUUUCACUCUUCCCCCGGAUGGAUCUGCAUGGAGCCAUUCAGGACAAGGAGAGAGCAUUUGCACCACUGGGACACCUGAACUCUCAUCCCCUGCCAGAACACCCUGAUAUAAGAAGAUAUGGCCAGACAUGCCAUUUGGUCUCUGUAGUUUCCUCACUACUUAGCUAGUUGCAUCAAAACUCACAGUUGGGGUGGCCAAAUUAGGAAGAUGGCUUGGCUCAGGAUCCCCAAAAAGCAUCAGCUGUGUUGUCUCUGAUGCCCUCCAUACAUGGGGUUCCAUUCUACCCUCACACAGUUCUUUUGCUAUCUGCACAUGCAAGUUACCAAGCAUUGCAUGCUUGGAACAGCCAGUGUGCAAGAAGUCAUCAGUGUUUUUAAUUAAACAAUUGAGCACCAUUGGGCUGUUCAUUUCAGGCUCUCUGUCGUAUUUUAUGGGAAUGUGGCCAUGACAUUCCUUACAGUUGCCUCUGAUUUCUAUGUAUUUCUCUGUGGCUGAUGGAUAGACCUUGGCUCUUUUAAAUUCAAAUGUGCAGGGGCUUUUCACUUCUUGCCAAAUGUGAUGAUUUAUCACAUGCGUCCAGAUGCCAGGCUUCAAAAUAGUGUAUUCCCUUUUUUGUGUUUUAGAGAACUUGUUUUUGUAUUGAACUGUUUCAGGCAUGAAUUCAAUCCAUUUCUGAAAUGGAACUUGAAGAUCGAAAGUCCAGUAAUCUUUUGGUCUGGGGGAAAGGGACCCUGGCUCAAAAUCAGUAUCAUCACUUGUUUCACCAUCACUUUGAUAAAUAAAC